rnacentral:misc_RNA from 1 species
CACAGCUAAAAAAUGGUUGGACAGAACUGGAAGAGUCUUGAAACAACUUCAUUGUACUCCAGAGCAGAAUUUGGAAGCUGCUAUAUCACUACUGCAGGAUGAUGCAUACCAGUAGUGGGAUACAGUAACUAGUGAGGUGCCACCAGAACAGAUAACUUGGGAUUUCUUUCUCACUGAGUUCAGAAAGAAGUAUGUGGGCAGUGUAUAC